CUCUUACUGCUUGGGAACUGAUAGUCUAGAGUGAGGGAGAGGCAGAUGGAAUUGGUGGUGUAGGGGUAAAAUCCGUAGAUAUCACCAAGAAUACCCAUUGCGAAGGCGAUCUGCUGGAACUUAACUGACGCUAAGGCGCGAAAGCGUGGGGAGCAAACAGGAUUAGAUACCCUGGUAGUCCACGCCCUAAACGAUGUACACUAGUUGUUGGGGUGCUAGUCAUCUCAGUAAUGCAGCUAACGCAUUAAGUGUACCGCCUGGGGAGUACGGUCGCAAGAUUAAAACUCAAAGGAAUAGACGGGGACCCGCACAAGCGGUGGAGCAUGUGGUUUAAUUCGAAGAUACGCGAAGAACCUUACCUGGGCUUGAUAUCCUAAGAACCUUUUAGAGAUAAGAGGGUGCUAGCUUGCUAGAACUUAGAGACAGGUGCUGCACGGCUGUCGUCAGCUCGUGUCGUGAGAUGUUGGGUUAAGUCCCGCAACGAGCGCAACCCACGUAUUUAGUUGCUAACGGUUCGGCCGAGCACUCUAAAUAGACUGCCUUCGUAAGGAGGAGGAAGGUGUGGACGACGUCAAGUCAUCAUGGCCCUUAUGCCCAGGGCGACACACGUGCUACAAUGGCAUAUACAAUGAGACGCAAUACCGCGAGGUGGAGCAAAUCUAUAAAAUAUGUCCCAGUUCGGAUUGUUCUCUGCAACUCGAGAGCAUGAAGCCGGAAUCGCUAGUAAUCGUAGAUCAGCCAUGCUACGGUGAAUACGUUCCCGGGUCUUGUACUCACCGCCCGUCACACCAUGGGAGUUGAUUUCACUCGAAGCCGGAAUACUAACAU
rnacentral:rRNA from 1 species